rnacentral:lncRNA from 10 species
CUUGCUGUGUUGCCCAGGCUGGACUCAAACUCCUGGCCUUAAGUGAUCCCACUCAGCCUUCCAAAGCUGGGUAGCUUUUGAUUGCAGAUUCUAGCUAGGUUGCAGGACGUGAGGAAGUGGGGGUGCAGAAAUCACAGCAACACCCUCCCCCAAGGGUGCUUUCCGUGGCCGUGUACACAGCCCGCCUGGCCGGCUCUGAGAGCAGGGACCCUUCUCUGGAUGCUCCAGGCCAUCGCUGUGCAGGAACCCGGUGUGUCGUAAGUGAAGGACAGUCGUCUUUACCUUGGGGGAGACAGUUGUGGGUGCCUCCCUGCAGGCUGUGGCAUCUGUAAUUCCCCAAAUGUAGGUGCUACGUUGAACAGCCCCUUAGACUUCACCGCAGCACCGUGUGGCCACCGUGCACAGCCUUCCCAGGCCAGCUGCAGAAUUCCAUGGAAAAGGUUUUGUGAAUGAUUACAACUCAACGGUCUAGGCCCUCAACCUUCUCUUUUUAGAACAGUGCCCCCCAUUGUGGAAAUCCUCGGUUCAGCCACUGGGAACUCCCCAGUUUUGAGGGCAGGUGUUGGCAGUUUCAUUUGGUCCAACACCAAUUCCACGUUCCUGUGCCCCCUUCAACAGUCUGCGCAGCCUCCCAGUGGCGCAGCCUCCCCGUGACUCAGCCUCCUGGUGACACGGCCUUGCUAGCCGCCAUCCUGUACCGGGCCCAGGUGACACCGUGGGACGUCUGUUAUUUAGGUGCCCCUGGCCCCUGCCACGGGGUUUCCCACUUUGGGGGCCUUGCAUCUGUGUGGCUUCUUCCUUGCUCUCAGUGGUCACCUGGUUGUCGGUGGCCCGCGUCCAUCAGCCCAUCAUCAUUCCGACUUGCUGUUUUGAUCGUCGGCCGGAAAGCCAGACAGCUGGCCUUGCUGGACCAUGUCUGCAAUGGGAAUUUUGAGGCCGAGAGGGAGGGCUUCAGGGGCCCCUGGGAGUGCAACACGUAAAUGGGGGCUUGCACACGGGGUCGGGUGGGGGGCUCUUGCUCCGAUGUUCCGGGAUCUUUUUUGCCCCUUGUAGACCCACAGGUGUGUGUGCAGGAGCCCUGAGGAGGCCAGAGGAGGCCAGAGAAGGGUGAGCAGAGGUCCGAGGGCACUGCGGUGAGGCCAGGCUGCAGAUGGAGCUGGGGCUCGAGCUCAGGAGCUGGUCUUCCCUGCUGGGGCCGCGACGCCUGCCGCUUUCCUGCCGGCUCUCUGGGUCAAGGCCUGGAAAGGCUUUCUUCUCGGGCUUCUCAUCAGCUUAUUGGCCCAUUUAGCCAGGGCAAAGGUGCAUGACAACUCUGAGCAAGUCAAAACAACCGUCAGCAGCGGGAAACCUCGAUGAACAAACACCGGGAGAGUGUUUCUGCAGAUCCUGCUUUGUGACUUCGAGUGAAGUGUGGAAGCGCUGGAAGCACUUAGACCCUGCCUGUGAGUUGUCAUGUAUCAUGUCUGCAAACAUUAAAAAUCUCACCAGAUGAUGGGGUGUGUGUGUGUGUGUGUGUGUGUGUC